rnacentral:rRNA from 1 species
UUCUGAAAUGUUGACCU